rnacentral:pre_miRNA from 13 species
UGCCCUAGCAGCGGGAACAGUACUGCAGUGAGGGAUUUGUGCUCUGGAGUGUUGUUUCUGCUGCCAGGGCA